GACGAACGCUGGCGGCGUGCCUAAUACAUGCAAGUUGAGCGCUGAAGGUUGGUACUUGUACCGACUGGAUGAGCAGCGAACGGGUGAGUAACGCGUGGGGAAUCUGCCUUUGAGCGGGGGACAACAUUUGGAAACGAAUGCUAAUACCGCAUAAAAACUUUAAACACAAGUUUUAAGUUUGAAAGAUGCAAUUGCAUCGCUCAAAGAUGAUCCCGCGUUGUAUUAGCUAGUUGGUGAGGUAAAGGCGCACCAAGGCGAUGAUACAUAGCCGACCUGACAGGGUGAUCGGCCACAUUGGGACUGAGACACGGCCCAAACUCCUACGGGAGGCAGCAGUAGGGAAUCUUCGGCAAUGGACGAAAGUCUGACCGAGCAACGCAGCGUGAGUGAAGAAGGUUUUCGGAUCGUAAAACUCUGUUGGUAGAGAAGAACGUUGGUGAGAGUGGAAAGCUCAUCAAGUGACGGUAACUACCCAGAAAGGGACGGCUAACUACGUGCCAGCCGCCGCCGUAA
rnacentral:rRNA from 1 species